rnacentral:lncRNA from 1 species
AAGUAGGAAACACAACACUAAUCGCAUUCAUCAUGGCAAGAUCUCUAUCAGUCACAAUAACUUUAGAAAUUAAAGUCUCAGAUUUGAACAACUUUCGUACCUUUUCAAAUGUCCAGAUGAAGUUAUCUUGUCGCUCUUGUUCCAAAUAAGAAAACCCUACCGAAAAUGUCAAACUAGUAGAUGUGACACCGACAAUUUCAAGUAGUGGUAACCGAU